rnacentral:lncRNA from 1 species
AUGCCAGCAAAUUUGGAAAACUCAGCAGUGGCCACAGGACUGGAAAAGGUCAGUUUUCAUUCCAGCCCAAAGAAAGGCAAUGCCAAAGAAUGCUCAAACUACCGCACAAUUGCACCCAUCUCACACGCUAGUGAAGUAAUGCUCAAAAUUCUCCAAGCCAGGCUUCAGCAAUACGUGAACCGUGAACUUCCAGAUGUUCAAGCUGGUUUUAGAAAAGGCAGAGGAACCAGAGAUCAAAUUGCCAACAUUUGCUGGAUCAUGGAAAAAGCAAGAGAGUUCCAGAAAAACAUCUAUUUCUGCUUUAUUGACUCUGCCAAAGCCUUUGACUGUGUGGAUCACAAUAAACUGUGGAAAAUUCUGAAAGAGAUGGGAAUACCAGACCACCUGACCUGCCUCUUGAGAAACCUGUAUGCGGGUCAGGAAGCAACAGUUAGAAUUGGACAUGGAACAGGAGACUGGUUCCAAAUAGGAAAAGGAGUCCAUCAAGGCUGUAUAUUGUCACCCUGCUUAUUUAACUUAUAUGCAGAGUACAUCAUGAGAAACACUGGGCUGGAGGAAGCACGAGCCGGAAUCAAGAUUGCCGGGAGAAAUAUCAAUAACCUCAGAUAUGCAGAUGACACCACCCUUAUGGCAGAAAGUGAAGAGGAACUCAAAAGCCUCUUGAUGAAAGUGAAAGAGGAGAGUGAAAAAGUUGGCUUAAAGCUCAACAUUCAGAAAACGAAGAUCAUGGCAUCUGGUCCCAUCACUUCAUGGCAAAUAGAUGGGGAAACAGUGGGAACAGUGUCAGACUUUAUUUUUUUGGGCUCCAAAAUCACUGCAGAUGGUGAUUGCAGCCAUGAAAUUAAAAGACGCUUACUCCUUGGAAGGAAAGUUAUGACCAACCUAGAUAGCAUAUUGAAAAGCAGAGACAUGACUUUGCCAACAAAGGUCCGUCUAGUCAAGGCUAUGGUUUUUCCAGUGGUCAAGUAUGGAUGUGAAAGUUGGACUGUGAAGAGGGCUGAGCGCCAAAGAACUGAUGGUUUUGAACUGUGGUGUUGGAGAAUACUGUUGAGAGUCCCUUGGACUGCCCAACCAGUCCAUUCUAAAGGAAAUCGGUCCUGGAUGUUCAUUGGAAGGACUGAUGCUAAAGCUGAAACUCCAGUACUUUGGCCACGUCAUGCGAAGAGCUGA